CGACCUGCACGAAUGGCGUAACGAUGGCGGCGCUGUCUCCACCCGAGACUCAGUGAAAUUGAAAUCGCUGUGAAGAUGCAGUGUAUCCGCGGCUAGACGGAAAGACCCCGUGAACCUUUACUAUAGCUUUGCACUGGACUUUGAGCUUGCUUGUGUAGGAUAGGUGGGAGGCUUUGAAGCGUGGACGCCAGUUCGCGUGGAGCCAUCCUUGAAAUACCACCCUGGCAACCUUGAGGUUCUAACUCUGGUCCGUUAUCCGGAUCGAGGACAGUGUAUGGUGGGUAGUUUGACUGGGGCGGUCUCCUCCUAAAGAGUAACGGAGGAGUACGAAGGUGCGCUCAGACCGGUCGGAAAUCGGUCGCAGAGUAUAAAGGCAAAAGCGCGCUUGACUGCGAGACAGACACGUCGAGCAGGUACGAAAGUAGGUCUUAGUGAUCCGGUGGUUCUGUAUGGAAGGGCCAUCGCUCAACGGAUAAAAGGUACUCCGGGGAUAACAGGCUGAUACCGCCCAAGAGUUCAUAUCGACGGCGGUGUUUGGCACCUCGAUGUCGGCUCAUCACAUCCUGGG
rnacentral:rRNA from 16 species